UACGAAGGGGGCUAGCGUUGCUCGGAAUGACUGGGCGUAAAGCGCACGUAGGCGGCUUGGUAUGUCGGGUGUGAAAUCCCCGGGCUCAACCUGGGAACUGCAUCCGAAACUGCCUUGCUAGAGUAUGGGAGAGGGAAGUGGAAUUUCCGGUGUAGCGGUGAAAUGCGUAGAUAUCGUGAGGAACACCAGAGGCGAAGGCGGCUACCUGGACAAUUGCUGACGCUCAGGCACGAAAGCGUGGGGAGCAAAAGGG
rnacentral:rRNA from 1 species